GAGUUUGAUCCUGGCUCAGGACGAACGCUGGCGGCGCGCCUAACACAUGCAAGUCGAACGAGCGAGAGAGAGCUUGCUUUCUCAAGCGAGUGGCGAACGGGUGAGUAACGCGUGAGGAACCUGCCUCAAAGAGGGGGACAACAGUUGGAAACGACUGCUAAUACCGCAUAAGCCCACAGCUCGGCAUCGAGCAGAGGGAAAAGGAGCAAUCCGCUUUGAGAUGGCCUCGCGUCCGAUUAGCUAGUUGGUGAGGUAAUGGCCCACCAAGGCGACGAUCGGUAGCCGGACUGAGAGGUUGAACGGCCACAUUGGGACUGAGACACGGCCCAGACUCCUACGGGAGGCAGCAGUGGGGAAUAUUGCACAAUGGGGGAAACCCUGAUGCAGCGACGCCGCGUGGAGGAAGAAGGUCUUCGGAUUGUAAACUCCUGUUGUUGAGGAAGAUAAUGACGGUACUCAACAAGGAAGUGACGGCUAACUACGUGCCAGCAGCCGCGGUAAAACGUAGGUCACAAGCGUUGUCCGGAAUUACUGGGUGUAAAGGGAGCGCAGGCGGGAAGACAAGUUGGAAGUGAAAUCUAUGGGCUCAACCCAUAAACUGCUUUCAAAACUGUUUUUCUUGAGUAGUGCAGAGGUAGGCGGAAUUCCCGGUGUAGCGGUGGAAUGCGUAGAUAUCGGGAGGAACACCAGUGGCGAAGGCGGCCUACUGGGCACCAACUGACGCUGAGGCUCGAAAGUGUGGGUAGCAAACAGGAUUAGAUACCCUGGUAGUCCACACCGUAAACGAUGAUUACUAGGUGUUGGAGGAUUGACCCCUUCAGUGCCGCAGUUAACACAAUAAGUAAUCCACCUGGGGAGUACGACCGCAAGGUUGAAACUCAAAGGAAUUGACGGGGGCCCGCACAAGCAGUGGAGUAUGUGGUUUAAUUCGACGCAACGCGAAGAACCUUACCAAGUCUUGACAUCCUGCGACGCACAUAGAAAUAUGUGUUUCCUUCGGGACGCAGAGACAGGUGGUGCAUGGUUGUCGUCAGCUCGUGUCGUGAGAUGUUGGGUUAAGUCCCGCAACGAGCGCAACCCUUACUGUCAGUUACUACGCAAGAGGACUCUGGCAGGACUGCCGUUGACAAAACGGAGGAAGGUGGGGAUGACGUCAAAUCAUCAUGCCCUUUAUGACUUGGGCUACACACGUACUACAAUGGCGUUAAACAAAGAGAAGCAAGACCGCGAGGUGGAGCAAAACUCAGAAACAACGUCCCAGUUCGGACUGCAGGCUGCAACUCGCCUGCACGAAGUCGGAAUUGCUAGUAAUCGUGGAUCAGCAUGCCACGGUGAAUACGUUCCCGGGCCUUGUACACACCGCCCGUC
rnacentral:rRNA from 1 species